UAACGUGUCACGGAGUGUUGAGUUUGC
rnacentral:sRNA from 1 species